UCCCAGCUGUAAACGAUGCGGGCUAGGUGUCGGGUGGGCUACGGGCUCACCCGGUGCCGAAGGGAAACCAUUAAGCCCGCCGCCUGGGGAGUACGGCCGCAAGGCUGAAACUUAAAGGAAUUGGCGGGGGAGCACCACAAGGGGUGGACGUUGCGGCUUAAUUGGAGUCAACGCCGGAAACCUUACCGGGGGCGACGGCAGGAUGAUGGACAGGUUGAAGGCCUUUCCGGACG
rnacentral:rRNA from 1 species